GGAAGAGUGGCCGAGUGGUUGAAGGCACCGGUCUUGAAAACCGGCAAUGGGUAAAACCAUUCAUGGGUUCAAAUCCCAUCUCUUCCGCCA
rnacentral:tRNA from 1 species